rnacentral:misc_RNA from 1 species
GAUGAAGAACGCAGUGAAAUGCGAUAAGUAAUGUGAAUUGCAGAAUUCAGUGAAUCAUCGAAUCUUUGAACGCACAUUGCGCCCCCUGGUAUUCCGGGGGGCAUGCCUGUUCGAGCGUCAUUUCACCACUCAAGCCUCGCUUGGUAUUGGGCAACGCGGUCCGCCGCGUGCCUCAAAUCGACCGGCUUGGUCUUCUGUCCCCUAAGCGUUGUGGAAACUAUUCGCUAAAGGGUGUUCGGGAGGCUACGCCGUAAAACAACCCCAUUUCUAAGGUUGACCUCGGAUCAGGUAGGGAUACCCGCUGAACUUAAGCAUAUCAAUAAGCGGAGGA